UGGGGAAUUUUGGACAAUGGGCGCAAGCCUGAUCCAGCCAUUCCGCGUGAGUGAAGAAGGCCUUCGGGUUGUAAAGCUCUUUCGCAAGGGAAGAAAACUUACCCUCUAACAUAGGGUGAGGCUGACGGUACCUUGAUAAGAAGCACCGGCUAACUACGUGCCAGCAGCCGCGGUAAUACGUAGGGUGCGAGCGUUAAUCGGAAUUACUGGGCGUAAAGCGUGCGCAGGCGGUGACUUAAGUCUGAUGUGAAAUCCCCGGGCUCAACCUGGGAACUGCGUUGGAAACUGGGUCACUAGAGUAUGUCAGAGGGGGGUAGAAUUCCACGUGUAGCAGUGAAAUGCGUAGAGAUGUGGAGGAAUACCGAUGGCGAAGGCAGCCCCCUGGGAUAAUACUGACGCUCAUGCACGAAAGCGUGGGGAGCAAACAGG
rnacentral:rRNA from 1 species